GAUGAAGAACGCAGCGAACUGCGAUAAGUAAUGUGAAUUGCAGAAUUCAGUGAAUCAUCGAGUCUUUGAACGCACAUUGCGCCCCCUGGCAUUCCGGGGGGCAUGCCUGUCCGAGCGUCAUUGCUGCCCUUCAAGCCCGGCUUGUGUGUUGGGUCGUCGUCCCCCCCGGGGGACGGGCCCGAAAGGCAGCGGCGGCACCGCGUCCGGUCCUCGAGCGUAUGGGGCUUUGUCACCCGCUCGAUUAGGGCCGGCCGGGCGCCAGCCGGCGUCUCCAACCUUUUAUUUUACCAGGUUGACCUCGGAUCAGGUAGGGAUACCCGCUGAACUUAAGCAUAUCAAUAAGCGGGAGGA
rnacentral:misc_RNA from 1 species